rnacentral:rRNA from 1 species
GUCCUGUCACAGGUACCCAACCCCAAAUCAAGGAGGGUCAUACCUGCACAAUGCUUUACGGGGUCAAUUGCCGCGGUAACCUGACCGUGCUAAGGUAGCGUAAUCACCUGCCUAUUAAUUGUUGGCCUGUAUCAAUGGUCCCACGCUGGAAGCGCUGUCUCAUUAAUAUUAAUUUGAAUUUAACUUUUGGGUGAAAAGGCCCUAAUAACACUGAAAGACGAUAAGACCCUAUCGAACUUUAAGCUAAACGAGAGCCUCAUUUACCUCUGAAUCAUGUACAACGGCCACUCUAUACGCCUUCAGUUGGGGAAACUGGGAGCCAAACAAAGCGCUCACCCGUCCUAGCACAAAUUUGGAAUCAUCCCCCCAUCGGUCAGCCGAUGGGGACCUUCCACCAGUUAAUGGCCUCCGGUUAAUAAUAGCUUCACAAAACACUUGUCUGACAAUACCUAAAUAAUUAACACUAUAAUCCUCAAAACUCUAUCAGAGCCACUGAGAAAUCGGAAGAGUUACCGUAGGGAUAACAGCGUAAUCCCCCUGGCGAGACCACAUUAAUGGGGGGGUUUGCGACCUCGAUGUUGGCUUGGGGCCUCCUAAGGGCGAAGAGGCUUUUAAGGGUUGGUCUGUUCGACCAUUAAAG